CAGAAGAGGGGCGGGGAGACGUGUCUCCUAGCAACAGGGAUGCUUUAAUAGAGAGAGAAUAGAGGGGAUGCUGGGAAAAUUCUCUCUUGUCAGAGGGUUUAGUUGACGCAAGGCCGCAGUUCAGUCCUGUGCAAUCCAGGGAUUUCUAGUUUGAUAAGACGUAUGCAGCGUGCAUCGGAAUUUGUUUGUAUUUUUUUUCAAAUGAUAAUCCGGCCCCUCAACAGUCUGAAGGAUUGUGGACCGGCCCUCGGCUUAAAAAGUUUGAGGAACCCUGAUGUAGAUGAUGCCUGGGCCAACUUCGGCCUUCACUCCAGGUGCUUUGGACUUCAACUCCCACAAUUACUAGCAGCCAUUAUUUUUAUUUCCGUUCCUUUAGAAAUGUUUUCAGUUUCAUCCUCUGAUUUGUGAAAUUGCUUUGAGAGAUUAUAUAUAUAUACAGUAGAGUCUCACUUAUCCAACAUAAACGGGCCGGCGGAAUGUUGGAUAAGCGAAUAUGUUGGAUAAUAAGGAGGCAUUAAGGAAAAGCCUAUUAAACAUCAAAUUAGGUUAUGAUUUUACAAAUUAAGCACCAAAACAUCAUGUUAGACAACAAAUUUGACAGAAAAGUAGUUCAAUAUGCAGUAAUGUUAUGUUUUAAUUACUGUAUUUACGAAUUUAGCACCAAAAUAUCACGAUAUAUUGAAAACAUUGACAACAAAAAUGCGUUGGAUAAUCCAGAAUGUUGGAUAAGUGAGACUCUACUGUAUAUAUAUAUAUACACAAAGAUACAUUGCUUUUUAGCACUUUAUUCAUUUCCUACUUUACCCUAUCCCAUAUUAUACCAGUCGACUCUCUGACACUUGAUCAUGCACUUUGUUAAAAAGCUUUGAAAUCGAGUAUUUGACCUCUUUUUAUCUUUAGUGGUUGAUGUUUGUAUCAUUACCUCAUUUUGUCUGUUAUGUGUUUUAUUGUAUGUUGCUUAUUUUAUUUGAUUAUUGUAUCAUUGUUUUUAGCUCUUGAUACUUGUUGUAAUUGUUUUAUUUUGGUUCUGUUUUGGACUUGGCCCCAUGUUAACCGCCCCGAGUCCCUUCAAGGAGAUGGUGACGGGAUAGAAAAAUAAAGUAUUUUUAUUAUUA